CAGAAGUUGUUGGAUCCACAGGAGUCACAGUCUGUACUUUCAUGCACAUGUCCUCGAAAUGGCAAAGAAGGAGAACUUCAAGAGCAUCCUAAAUGAUGAUCCUGGGUCUUCAACAGGACAAGAUGCAAGUUACAGUGUGGUGUGAGGUCUGUGCAUGGCGCAUGUGUCUCAAUGAUUCCUCAGCAACAUCAGACCUUCUUGAAGGAGAGCACAUGGCGAGACUUCCUAGGCUCAGCUACACUACAGAGCAGCUGAUAAUUUCUUUAUUCACAGAGAUUCUGCCUUUGUAUAGUCAAACCAUAUGAACAAAAAUAUUCACAAAAAUGUUCCAGAAAGUUGUAAAUGUAAGAGAAAGAAUUAAUUUUCUAUGUGUCCAUUGCUAAGUCUAAGUUAGGUUUGAGUCCAUGCGGUCCGGCUUCCUUGGGAUUACUUUAAUUGGAGUUUGGCAAGCAAUAAUAAUUUAACAUGUGGCCUGGCAUGUGUUCUUGCCCCAUUUCAGAACUACAGGCUACAUUCGUAGCAAAAGGAAGAGUAAUCCAGUUAUUUCAUUGUGUAUGGAAAACAACAUCAAAAUUUAGUAACUUGAAAUAUCCACAUUAAUUUUGCACUCUAUAAUUUGAAGGUUGAGAAAUUAACUGCAGCCUACUUGUGAUUACUUACCAUUGCCUGAGCCACUCCAACUCAUUGACAGAAUCUAUACACAUCAGCAUCUGUGUCUUACAGUAAGGUGGAGAUGGAUGGAUGUCAUUGGAGAGACUAUUGCACAGUAUUUCUUAAAGUCACUGGCUUUAUAAAGUUCACAAGUGCAAAUGCUCACUGAAUGAACAAGAGACUGUUCAAGUGAUUUGCUUAAACAUGUUGCUAUGAGCAGUCCCUAAUAUGCAUGGGGUAGGGAAUGAUGGUAAGAGGGCUGUCUAGACAACCAGCAAAGAAAUGCUUCUGGGGGUGGUCAGUGAUGGAAUGAAUGUUUCUAUAACCUGAGUUAGAGCGGGAAUGAGCUCAGUUCUGAUGGAAUAAUGGUUCGGAAGAAGAAACAUAAAUAAAGGUCUUCCAGCAUGCUUCACUCCUAAAAAGAAAGAUUUCUAUGUCCUCUUUGCUCUGAAGGAAAAAAAAAAAAAAAAAAAAAAAAAAAAAAAAGAUGCUUUUGUAGUCACACCAGACAGCAGCAGAGGAAAGGACACAUUCUGAGAAGCCUUGCCUUCCGAGUCCAAAACCAUACUU
rnacentral:lncRNA from 1 species